GACGAACGCUGGCGGCGUGCUUAACACAUGCAAGUCGAACGGAAAGGCCCUGCUUUUGUGGGGUGCUCGAGUGGCGAACGGGUGAGUAACACGUGAGUAACCUGCCCUUGACUUUGGGAUAACUUCAGGAAACUGGGGCUAAUACCGGAUAGGAGCUCCUGCUGCAUGGUGGGGGUUGGAAAGUUUCGGCGGUUGGGGAUGGACUCGCGGCUUAUCAGCUUGUUGGUGGGGUAGUGGCUUACCAAGGCUUUGACGGGUAGCCGGCCUGAGAGGGUGACCGGCCACAUUGGGACUGAGAUACGGCCCAGACUCCUACGGGAGGCAGCAGAGGGGAAUAUUGCACAAUGGGCGGAAGCCUGAUGCAGCAACGCCGCGUGCGGGAUGACGGCCUUCGGGUUGGAAACCGCUUUCGCCUGUGACGAGGCGUGAGUGACGGUAAUGGGUAAAGAAGCACCGGCUAACUACGUG
rnacentral:rRNA from 1 species